ACACGACUACAUUAGAUACCCGGGUAGUCCUAGCCGUAAACGAUACUCGCUAGGUGUCGGCCACGGUGCGACCGUUGUCGGUGCCGUAGGGAAGCCGUGAAGCGAGCCACCUGGGAAGUACGGCCGCAAGGCUGAAACUUAAAGGAAUUGGCGGGGGAGCACGACAACGGGUGGAGCUUGCGGUUUAAUUGGAUUCAACGCCGGAAAUCUUACCGGGACCGACAGCAACAUGAAGGCCAAGCUGAAGACUUUGCCGGAUUAGCUG
rnacentral:rRNA from 1 species